GAUGAACGCUGGCGGCGUGCCUAAUACAUGCAAGUCGAGCGAACAGAUGAGGAGCUUGCUCCUCUGACGUUAGCGGCGGACGGGUGAGUAACACGUGGAUAACCUACCUAUAAGACUGGGAUAACUUCGGGAAACCGGAGCUAAUACCGGAUAAUAUAUUGCACCGCAGGGUUCAAUAGUGAAAGACGGUUUUGCUGUCACUUAUAGAUGGAUCCGCGCCGCAUUAGCUAGUUGGUAAGGUAACGGCUUACCAAGGCAACGAUGCGUAGCCGACCUGAGAGGGUGAGCGGCCACACUGGAAGUGAGACACGGCCCAGACGCCUACGGGAACGAGCCGGAGGGAUACUGCCGGCAUGGGCGAAAGCUAGACGGAGAAAGGCCGCGUGAGUGAGGAAGGUCUUCGGAUCGGAAAACUCUGUUAUUAGGUAAGAACAAAUGUGUGAGUAACUCUGCACGUCUUGACGGUACAUAAUCAGAAAGCCACGGCUAAAUACGUG
rnacentral:rRNA from 1 species